CCUACGGGUGGCAGCAGUGGGGAAUAUUGCACAAUGGGGGAAACCCUGAUGCAGCGACGCCGCGUGAGUGAAGAAGCGCCUCGGCGCGUAAAGCUCUGUCAGCAGGCACGACGAUGACGGUACCUGAAGCAGAAGCCCCGGCUAACUCCGUGCCAGCAGCCGCGGUAAUACGGGGGGUGCAAGCGUUGUCCGGAAUCAUUGGGCGUAAAGCGUUCGUAGGCGGCAAGGUAAGUCUGAUGUUAAAGCCCGGGGCUCAACUCCGGUUCUGCAUUGGAUACUAGCUAGCUAGAAUGUGGUAGAGGUAAAGGGAAUUCCUGGUGUAGCGGUGAAAUGCGUAGAUAUCAGGAGGAACAUCGGUGGCGAAAGCGCUUUACUGGACCAUUAUUGACGCUGAGGAACGAAAGCCAGGGGAGCAAAUGGGAUUAGAUACCCGAGUAGUC
rnacentral:rRNA from 1 species